rfam:Cylindrobasidium torrendii FP15055 ss-10 unplaced genomic scaffold CYLTOscaffold_185, whole genome shotgun sequence.
GCCUCCUUGGCUCAGUUGGCUAGAGCGCAGGUCUCAUACGAAAGUGUGAUCGAGCAUUCGCUUGAGAAAUCCUGAGGUCGCAAGUUCGAGCCUUGCAGGGGGCA